ensembl:snRNA U5 U5 spliceosomal RNA
UGACUCUUGUUUCUCUUCGAAAUGAAUCUUUCGCCUUUUACUGAAGGUUUGCCUGGGGAGGGAGAGGCAAGUGUUGCCUCAGUUUUUUUGAGGCCUUGUGAGAUAAACAAGGC